rnacentral:ncRNA from 2 species
UGUAUGGCUGGUCGACCCGACCGGCCCCGAUGAACAGGCAGGAAGCCGGUGUGAAUCCGGCGCGGUCCCGCCACUGUGACCGGGGAGCGAACCCCACGUCGACCACGGCCGAGAGGCUGGAAGGUCGGGGUGAGCGCUGAUCCGGGAGUCAGGAUACUGCUCUCGUCGGCCCUCUUGCU